rnacentral:lncRNA from 1 species
ACGGGGUAGAAGGCACGGCCUAUGGGGUUGGGAGAGACCAGUGUCCUAAGUCCUGUGGGGACAUACUGAGUUUAUCCCGAAGCAGAAAGGAAGCAGUGCUGGGUUUUGAUAACGAGUAGGCAACUUUGUCCUGAACCCAAGACCUGAGACAGAGCUCUGAAAAUUUCCAAGGGCAUUGUCCAGAACAGUAAGCACCAAGUCCUUGCACUAUCAGACCCUCCCGCGGGACAGUCUUGCCAGCAGGCCUGGGCCACACCAGAGGCGGAAGAGGCGGGUCAUCAGCUGCUCACUUCUCUCCAGCCCUGGAAGCCAGAAGCUGGGGGCUGGAGAGAGGGAAGACACUCUAAACUGGAUGGAAACCUUUCAAAGGUUUGACAUGACAACUCACAGGAUUUUUUAAUUAUUAAAAUGAGACUGAUCUUGGGACUAGAUGCGGCUGGAGGGCUUUCAGUUAUCUGGGAAUGAUGGACCAAAAAAAAAAACAAACCAACCAUACGACGACGGGACUUUCCUCAAUUCAUUCAGGACAAGUCAACAAAGAAGCGUAAAGGGAGUUACAGGGCAUGUUGUUGCUUCCUGCUUCUCUGAUUCUCCCUGUGUGCUAGAAGAUAUUUGCCUUUCAGAUGGGUUUUUCUGGUAUUGGUGAGGGGAGAUGAUCAACAGCAGGAGGGUGAGCUGAGAGACAAGCCGGGAAUGGCCUGGCAGGUUGCACUGAUCAUCCACACCACAGCGCUGCUCCGGAUUUUCCCAAGAGCACAGCCAACCCUGUUGCCUGGCCCCAAAGGCCUCUUGGAGUCAGGGAAGAGAGGUGCCCCGCAGAACUGCACAAUCUCUGGGGCAGAGGAAAGUACGCUAUGUCUGGCAGGCCAUGAAGAAGCACAGGGGGCGUUACCCACUCACGGCUGCACAGCCUGCUUAGCCAGGCCUGCCCAGGACAACCUUGCUCAAAGAGGAAACUAACACUUUUGCUCUGACCUGUAAGUGUCACCUGACACUAAUAAGCAAGUGGACCCAUUGAGCCUGGCAUCCUUGGGAAGCUCUGCAUUGCGAACUGAUACCCAAUUCAGUGGGGGAACUGGGCUUCACGGCAGCAGCAACCAGGCACAGCAAAAUCAAGAGGCAAUCAUUGGGCCAUGCACGGUAGCUCACACCUGUAAUCCCAGCGCUUUGGGAGGCCGAGGCAAAUGGAUCACCUGAGGUCAGGAGUUUGAGACCAGCCUGGCCAACAUGAUGAAACUCCAUCUCUACUAAAAAUACAAAAAAAUUAGCCGGGCAUGGUGGCACGCGCCUGUAGUCCCAGCUGCUCAGGAGGC